GAAGAAGAAAUUUCUUUUUCAGAAUCUAAAACACGAGAUAAAACAUAAUUAUUAAUUUGAUUUGAGACUUUGUUUAAAUGAAAAGACGGGAAAAGGUUUGUAGACAGAGGUAAAUCAUCAGUUUUAAGAAUUAUAUCAAAAGAAAAUAGCAAUUUAAAUUCAUUAUCUUGUACAUUUGUGAAUGGAAAGACACUUUUAAUACAGUUUAAUCAAUUCCGCAAUGAGCGACUGAAUUGUAGUAAACUGUACUUAGUAUCAUUAAGCCUGUCACAUUUUGUAUGAGUCCAAAAUAAACAAAUAUUACAUUGAGAUGAGCGGCAACUUUGACUAAUUAAUUUUUUACACAAAUGACAGUUUAAAGCCGUAGUGGAACCGCAAUAUUAGAGAGAAUGUAAGAAACCAUAAGUAGGAAGUAAAUAGCUAAUCCAGCAAACACUACACGUACAAAAACGUACAAUAUACUUUCAGUUUACGUCCUAAACCUUUUUUGAACCAAAAUAAUUUUCUUUGGUCAGCGUGGAACGUUCAAAAGACGUCUGAAUUAUAUUCGGAAAGUGUGCGGGAAUACAUUAAAGUACAGAUCAAAUAACCAACUAAACUAAAAUAAAAAACCAUAAUGAUAAUCACUUUGUUAAAUAUUUAUUUUUAUGGUUAACUUUCCUUAGAUAUUUUAACAUUUGAUAAUUGCAAAUUGCGUUCGCCAUUUUUUUUGUAUAAAUAUAGAAAAUUUUUAUUAAAAAUGAUAAAAUAGCAAACGAUUUUCAUAACGAAUUGCUAAUUACGAUAACUAUUAAAAAAUCAAAAACCUAAAUAAUUGGUUCAAGAUUAAUUAAGUGGUUUCAUAUAAAUAAGAAAGUGAUGCAAUUGAUAGAGUCAAGUGACGAAGAAUCAUGUGCUAUAGAGAAUUUACAAGAAUUGUCUCAUACCAAUCCACAAAUAUCUCCAGAAUAUCAAACUGAUUUGGACCUAACUGAUCUAGAUUCAAUCAGUGAUUUAGAAAAUUAUGUUGACUGUAAGAGUGAUUCAGAAAUAUCUUAUCAUAUGAAUAUAAUAAGCAUGCUUUACUAACAUGUUGAAAUUUAAAGUUUGCUGCUUGUGCCACUUAAAAUAAAUGGAGUCAAAAAUCCAUAACUCAGUUAUUAAGUAUUCUUCGGGAAACUGGAUUAAAUUUUCCUCAAGAUGCUCAAACACUACUUAGCUUUCCAAAAACCAUAAAAACUCAAUCAAAAUGUCGUGGUGAGUAUGUUUAUUUUAGAAUUAAGAGUGAAAUUAUAAGAAUACUAUCAUGUUGGACUAUUAAAAGUGACUUAAUGAUUAAUUUACUUAUAAAUAUUGAUGGUCUUCCUCUUUUCCGGUCAUCUACUGUUCAGCUCUGGCCUAUUCUUGGUUUAUUUGAAGGCUCUGAUGUUUUUAUUAUUGGAAUUUUUGGUGGAAAUAGCAAACCUGAUCUUUUGAUAGACUUUUUAUUGGAUUUUGUGAAUGAAUGGAUGGAAGUUAAAGACUCUGGGAUUAAUUUCAAUGGAUUUCAUAUUAGUUUAGCAAUUAAAGCUUUUGUUUGUGAUGCUCCAGCUAGAGCUUAUAUAAAGAACAUUGUUAACCAUACUGGGUACAACUCUUGUGAAAGGUAUUGUGUGCAUGGUUCCCAUAAAUGAAGAGUUGUCUUCAAUGAUGAAUUUGGUUUUAAUAAAAGGGAUGAUCAGACUUUUCAACACUAUGGCUAUCUAGAUCAUCAAAAAGCAGUUUCUCCACUUGUAAAUAUUGGUAUUGAGUGUGUUAGUUCUUUUGUUUUUAAUUAUAUGCAUUUGGUUUGUUUAGGGGUAACAAAAUGAAUUCUAAAAUAUUUAUUGAAAGGUCCUGUAGGAAAAAUAUCUGCAUCACAAAUAACUGAAAUUUCUAAUAGAUUAAUUUGUUUAAAUGAAAAUAUACCAAGCGAAUUUGCUCGUCAACCACGAAGUCUUCAAGAUUUGGAUCGUUGGAAAGCUACAGAGUUUAGGCAGUUUUUGAUAUAUUUAGGCCCUGUUGUACUAAAAGAAGUUGUAUCUGAACAAGUAUAUGAGCAUUUUCUCCUGUUAAGCAUUUCUAUUGGUAUUAUGUUGACGUCAAAUGACGAAUUUCGUAAUAACCAUUUGGAUUUUGCACGCAGUAUGAUGACACAUUUUGUUUAUUCAUGCAAGUAUAUUUAUGGAGAAACUUUUACUGUAUAUAAUGUGCAUAGCCUACUCUAUUUAGUCGAUGAUUGUAUGAACCAUUGCUGCUCACUCAACAGUAUCUAUUGUUUUCCGUUUAAAAAGUUUCUACAAAGACUGAAACAGUCAGUUAACAACUCCAAGAGCACUAAUGUGCAAGUGUGUAAAAGCUUUUAAAGUAUGUAUCUUUGAAAAAGUGUUUAGUAUUUAUUUAAUUAAAUCUUUUGUUUUUAACAUUUUGCUUUACAUAAAAUUAAUGAAUUAAAAAACACUAGAUUAUAUGAGUUAAGAUUUAUGAUGGUUAAGAUGAUGCCCGAAUUUUUUUUAGUUGCUGAUGUCUGAAAAUGGUGGCGGAAGAUGAUUAUAAAACAGAAAUCAUAUAUUCUUCUCUGCCAGCUAUAUUCUUUGACUACAUACUUUAAUAUAUGCUAGAUAUUUAUCAAUAGUUCGUUUUACUACCUAGACUCAUGACAAACAAAUUAAUGUCAAGUUUUAAUAUGGAUGGAACGAGGAAUAAGAAUGCGUUUUGUAAGACAAAUCUGAUGAAGGUUAUUGCUGAGGCCAUGUCAAAGUAUAAUGAAAUGGAAAUAGAAAAAUGCGUUGGAAAUGUGCUUAAAAGAGCGCCGGAUAGAAAAGGCGGAGGUGGACGGGAUAAAGAAAAUCAUAAUAACAGUUUUCAAGAUGUUUUUUAAAUAUUUUUGUAAUGUGAAGUAUCUUUAACAUGGUUUAUACUGCAAA